rnacentral:rRNA from 1 species
GAUGAACGCUGGCGGCGCGCCUAAUACAUGCAAGUCGAGCGAACAGACGAGGAGCUUGCUCCUCUGACGUUAGCGGCGGACGGGUGAGUAACACGUGGAUAACCUACCUAUAAGACUGGGAUAACUUCGGGAAACCGGAGCUAAUACCGGAUAAUAUAUUGAACCGCAUGGUUCAAUAGUGAAAGACGGUUUUGCUGUCACUUAUAGAUGGAUCCGCGCCGCAUUAGCUAGUUGGUAAGGUAACGGCUUACCAAGGCAACGAUGCGUAGCCGACCUGAGAGGGUGAUCGGCCACACUGGAACUGAGACACGGUCCAGACUCCGACGGGAGGCAGCAGUAGGGAAUCUUCCGCAAUGGGCGAAAGCCUGACGGAGCAACACCGCGUGAGUGAUGAAGGUCUUCGGAUCGUAAAACUCUGUUAUUAGGGAAGAACAAAUGUGUAAGUAACUAUGCACGUCUUGACGGUACCUAAUCAGAAAGCCACGGCUAACUACGUG